rnacentral:ncRNA from 1 species
UGUUCAGGGCGGGGUGCGAUUCCCCACCGGUGGUGAUGGGCCUUCGGGCCACGAGUCCACGAGCUCGAGUAACGCGGGGCAGAAUCGGUGCGAACCCGAUACCGACGGUAUAGUCCGGAUGAAAGAACA